CUCCGGGCUAAGCCUCUACUGCCAGGAACGUCUCUGCUGCCACCGAGUCCCGCCGGCGCUGCUGUUAUUAGAUAUUCAGACCGCCGUUGUCGCCCAAAAGUUAUUGAUGGAGCUGCUGCUGGGCCGAUUUGAUGUUGCGGCUGCUUCAUUUUGUUAUUUCAGAGUUAGAAUCUGGUUUGAUUAUGCCGCUUGUAGCUGUUUCUACUUUCGAGA